AGGCAUUGGCACACAAGGGUCUGUAUGAAUUGGAGCAAAGGCAAGCAGAAUGGGGAGCAAGUGAGAACCCCUAAAAAUGAUGCUAAAAUAAAGGAGCCACAUUCAAACAAGCAGGCCUGCAACGAGGAGGGAUGAUGCCCAGAGCAGGAAUGCUGUGGAUCAGGAGUGGAGGCCACAGAGGAGAAAACAGAGGCUGGGAACGCGUGCCAAGCAGUGUGUGUGCUGUUCUGAGGUAACCUGGAGCCAAGGUGUCCCACAAAGAUCCACCAGCACCAGCAGCAUGAGCUCCAGCCUCACAUGGCCCCUUCCAGCUUGCCCACGCCAGGGCCUCGUGUUCCCACAGCAGAUGCCCGAGCCUUGUGUUUGCUGGCUACACAGAUACUCCGAGGGAGGACUUAGGUGGACCACUGAACUGCUGUGACUGAGAGAAAAUAAUACAACCCUGA
rnacentral:lncRNA from 1 species